CGUACCAGUGGCAGCAUUUCCACGCGAUUUGGUUGAAAAUGCACCUACCUGGUAUGCA
rnacentral:pre_miRNA from 1 species